rnacentral:lncRNA from 1 species
UGCUUUGCUCAAUAUAUCUUUUUUCAAGGUCAUAAGUAUUCUUAUCCUCAAUCCUCUCCCAUAAAAAGGCUAUUUAACCUUGCUCAUUGUCACUAAACAAAAUUCCUCUUGGUCAAUUAUCUCCCGACAAGGAACAACAUUGAACAAACUCUUGCCUCCUAGACACCUUAGCAUGAAUAGGGAAAGAAGGAAAAAAAAAUAAAAUGGGAGGUUCUGAG